GAAAUGCGAUAAGUAGUGUGAAUUGCAGAAUUCAGUGAAUCAUCGAAUCUUUGAACGCACAUUGCGCCCUUUGGUAUUCCUACCUGAUCUGAGGUCAACCUUGGAAAGUUGGGGGUUUAACGGCAGGGGCUCGUCGCUCUCCGAUGCGGAAUAUCACUACUUCGCAGAGGAGGCCACGACGGGUCCGCCACUAGAUUUAGGGGCCGGCCGUCCCUCGCGGGCUUUGGCCGAUCCCCAACACCACGCCCUAGGGGCAUGAGGGUUGAAAUGACGCUCAGACAGG
rnacentral:misc_RNA from 1 species